rnacentral:rRNA from 1 species
GUGGGGAAUAUUGGACAAUGGGCGCAAGUCUGAUCCAGCCAUGCCGCGUGAGUGAUGAAGGCCUUAGGGUUGUAAAGCUCUUUUGUCCGGGAAGAUAAUGACUGUACCGGAAGAAUAAGCCCCGGCUAACUUCGUGCCAGCAGCCGCGGUAAUACGAAGGGGGCUAGCGUUGUUCGGAAUCACUGGGCGUAAAGCGCACGUAGGCGGACCAUUAAGUCAGGGGUGAAAGCCUGGAGCUCAACUCCAGAAGUGCCUUUGAUACUGAUGGUCUCGAGUAUGGAAGAGGUUGGUGGAACUGCGAGUGUAGAGGUGAAAUUCGUAGAGAUUCGCAAGAACACCGGUGACGAAGGCGGCCAACUGGUCCAUUACUGACGCUGAGGUGCGAAAGCGUGGGGAGCAAACAGGAUUAGAUACCCGGGUAGUCC